UCAUGUAAAAUUUCAUGUCCAUCUAAUGAAGUAUGAGAAUUUCACAAAUGAAAUGGGAGCAUGUGUCACACAAGGGCAACAUUUGACUAGGCAGAGAGGGAAAAUCUCAAACAAAUGGAAAAUAGUUCAAUUAAAUCCAAGAAAAAUCACAAGUAAACUAGACAUACAAGAGUAGGCUCAUGCAAAAUUUGGGGUCAUUUGGAUGUAAGGAAGUAUGUGAACAAAAAUUGUGAAAGUGUAUGUUAUCCAUGUAGCAACAAAUGUAACACAUGACUUCAAAAAAU
rnacentral:lncRNA from 1 species